AUGUAUAACAGUUUAAUCAGCAGACAAGAAUGUUUUCAGAGGGGAAAGAAAUUAUAUAUCAUAUUUCAAAUUAAAUCUUUCAGUUUUAUAAUUAUAACAUACCUAAAAAUUACAAAUUCACCAAAAAUAAUCAAAAAAUACAUUUUUGAAGUAAGAAAAGUUACAUUUAAUUUCCUUGCUAUUCAAGGGGAAAGUGGUUUUAGAGUACUUCCUUUAAUAACUGAGAAUAAAGGCAAUAUCCCUUAGGUAUAAUUAAUAACUUGGAAUCAGACUACAAUUAUUCAAAUUAAGCUGACUUUCUAAGUUUUCUUGAAUUGGGAAAUUGUUUCACUCUGUCUUUUUUGUGGGUUCUGUUGUUCUAGAAUUUGUUCAGUCACUACUGCUAUCUUGGCCCCACUCCUAUAAUUUCUUGUAAUAUGAUUUCUAGGCUCUUUCUUUUAUUCUGAGUUUUAUGUAGCUCAAUAAUUCUUAAAUAAUGUAUCCUUGAUCUAUUUUUUUUCAUGAAAGUUGUUUUUCUAAUAUUUAUUGUUUCUUGAUGUCUCAUGGAGUCAACAACUUUUACUUGCCAAAAUCAAAUUUUAAAGGAAUUAUUUUCUUCCGUGAACUUUUGCACUGCUUUUUUUUUUCCCAUUUGGCAAAUUGUGUGUGUGUGUGUGUGUGUGUGUGUGUGUGUAUUAAGGAAUUGUUUUCAUUAGUACAUUUUUGUAUCUUUUUUUCCAUUUGGCCAAAUUGUUUUCAAAGUGUUAGUUUCUUUAGUAUUUUUUUCAUGUGACUCUUUUAUUAAGCUGUUGUCACUCCAUUUUUUUUUUUCACUCUUAUUGCUUUACCUAAUUCUUCCUCUUUCAUUCUUAUUUUAUUUUGAAGAUUUUUUUUAGCUCUUUGAAGAAUUCUUCUUGGCUUUUAUUUAAUUUAUUUUUUUUUUUUAAAUUGAGACUUUGCUUAUGUCUGUUUUCUGAAUUUGUGUCUUAAACUUCCCUGUCACCUUCGUAGCUUAUUUAAUAUUUAAUUAAAUACAGGAACUUAUCUAUAGUUGGCCCAGAGUUAGAAAGAGGGAACAGAGCCUUCUGGCCCUGCAUUAAUCAGGAAACUUGUAGAUAUAAGACUUUACUAACGUCUUCCUUCUGGAAGCUUUAUAGGCCUGAACCUCAAGGUGAGGUUCUUCAACAAAAUUCAACAAUUUAACUUGUUGAUCUCCUUAUUUGAUAAUAAAGAUCAACAUAGCUUUAAUGCUUAUAUUUUGACCAAAUAUUUGAGGGAUAGAAUUUAAUAGGUUCUAGUCCCUUUUUCAGUUUUAUCUAGAUUGCUUCAGUGAUGAGCUUGUAAAAUAUAACCCUUGUUAUAUUCUUCUCCCAUUUUGGGGGUUACUUCCCAAUGUCUGAACAAGUUAUUUGGGUGCUGUGGGUAAAAUUUGGAAAUGAGACUUCCCUACAUCCUAUGGGACUUGGUUUACUUUAAAUAAAUAACUGUGUCCAUAGAUAAUAAAAUUUUUCUAGCAUUAACAUAAGUGGUUUGAAUUUACAAUAACUUAAUACUGGUUGUAAAACGCAACUUUAAAUGUUUUUAAAUUGUUUGCAUCUGUUGUUUGCCUAUCCAAUCAGAGGAAGAGUGUAAAUGAAGGUAUUUAAUUACUGUUUUCUUUUCUAGAUUCUCAAUAAAAUAAUUGCUGACGAAUUCUGUUUGCCCAGAAAAUGCCUUUCAGAAUUGUUUAGAAUAAAAAGAAAAGAAAAAAGGAGAUUAUUUUUUAUACCCUCACUUCAAAGUCAAUGUUUUAGAAUCAUAGAUGUUUUGAAAGCCCAAUAUCAUACAAUUACAUGUUAUGAUUUGAUUUGUUCUGUACUUUUUAAUAAUAAAUAUUGGUAUAUUAAUAGAAAAUAUAAAGUUCCAUUUAUUCU
rnacentral:lncRNA from 1 species